rnacentral:rRNA from 1 species
UACGGAGAGGGCUAGCGUUGUUCGGAAUUACUGGGCGUAAAGGGUACGUAGGCGGCCAGGUAGGUCUGCUGUGAAAACUCGAGGCUCAACCUCGAGACGUCGGCGGAAACCAUCUGGCUAGAGUCCGGAAGAGGAGAGUGGAAUUCCUGGUGUAGCGGUGAAAUGCGCAGAUAUCAGGAAGAACACCCGUGGCGAAGGCGGCUCUCUGGGACGGUACUGACGCUGAGACGCGAAAGCGUGGGGAGCGAACAGG